GGCUUCUCCUUCUCUGCUCCCGUGAAGAGCAUGGUAAUUAAAUGUUUGGUAGUUUGUCUUCCUCUCUGUGCUGUGAGCAAUACUGAAGGCGGGUGGCUGUCAUUCUUUUCUCCGCAGCAUAUGGAGAGGUGGCCAAUACACAUUUCAGUUAUUGAAAGAGAGCAUUCUCCUUUAUCCCUAUGAACGUAAAGAGAGCUUCGCUUCUUCCUUCCGUCCACGGUCCUGGCAGAGGUGGAGCCUGCAGAUCCAGCUCUUGGAGGAGUCUGAGGUGCACUACAUGUAUUAGGAAUAGGAACCCCUUGCCUGUCACUGACGUUUGCCUUCAGAGCUUCCCUCUUCCAGGAGCUCCUCAGCCCUGGCCCGAAUGUCCCCAACAUCCCUCUCUGCUUCACCUCUGCACCCCAGAGUUCCACUGCGCCACAGCCUUUUACCACAGUGAGUUCAAGGUUACCUCUGGAGGAGAUGACAGGAGCAGGACGAGCAGAAACAAAGUUGCAAACGUUUUCAUGGGGCUCAUCCCUUCCCACUAGAAUUGGUCAGCUCCAGCAUCCAUGUCUGCACUGUGUAUCUCAUUUUCCCUGGCUGUAAUAACUCAUUGGCCUAGGAUGGACACCUUACCCAAGCCAAGAAUUGAGAUAUGUGAUCUAAUCAGCCCAGUCUAAGAACUGGUUUGAACCAUAACCAUCAACCUCUCUCAGGAGAGUGAUUAACAGCCAUAUUGCACUGGGGCAGAGGCAGGGGUGGAGAGAAGAGCCCAAAAGACAUGGAGGGAGAUGUCCCAAUGGCUUUGCACUUCGCUGUUCUGGCUCUUUCCUGCAGCUUUAUUGUAUUCUUGGUCUUCAGAUUCCAUGAGAUAGCCAUAUACAUAUCCUUAUACAUAAAAGAAUAUACAUAUACGUAAAUUUGCAUGUACCUAUACAUGAACAUAUAUAUAGAAUAUGCAUAUACAUGUUGAAAUAAAUUUCUAGGCCCAAAAUGGAGCCACUCCUGCUUGGGGUGCCAUGUCAGCAAACUGAUAUUUAGAUAACUUUCAUGUCCCUGUAAAUGCUCCACUUGACCAGAAAUGCAGAAUAUCCAGUUAGCCAACCCCCAAACGUCAAGCCAUCUCUGGGCUCUAUACUUAUUUCCUUGUUCCUUCUCACCCCAAACAUGUUUGAGUGUGUGGCCCCAGCCAAUCAGAUAUUUUCUCUUUUUCUCUUCUUUGUUCUUAUUCUUUAUCCUAUAAAAGCUUCCUGCCUUCUUCCCCGUUUUGCAGUUCUCUGGACCCUUGGGAAUGGAGAUUGUCUGCUUCAGGAAGUGUUAAAGUUUGUUUAUAUCACCUAAGUUGCCUUCUUUAAUCGUUUUUAAAAUACAUAUGCAUAAAAUUCUCCACUCUCCCUUCAGCCAACUUUAACUGAAUUCUGUUAUGGCAACCAAGACUUUAGCCAAUCUAAAAAUAAAGAUCUUCAGGGAUAGCGAGCUCCAGAAUUAAUCCUAGAGGAAAACCAUUUAAUAUGAAUGCUGCCAUGCACCCUCAUCUUGUUUUGUUGCUGAGCCAGAGGCCUGAAAACUUUGAUGACCAAGGUCCUCCAUCAUCAAACACCUUCAUCCAGGAGAAAGUCUGUGGAAAACCACACGACUCAGUCAUUGCCACCGUCAAACACCGACAGAAGCAUCACAUCCUUUCUCGAGAUGUAUCCAAAGGAAAGAUGAGUUCAGGAUGUCUACAGCCCCAGCUAACCGAUCUCAAUUUCUCUUCAGGGAAAAAAACAAUAAAAAUUAUACCCUCAA
rnacentral:lncRNA from 1 species